ACUAACCGUGAUGCCCUUAGUAAUGGCGAAUGAAACGGGCAGAGCCCAGCACCGAACCGCCGGCACUCUUGUCGCGUGGAAUGUGGUGUUCGGGAGAGUCUUCUCGCGUCGCGUCGGCCAGUCCAAGUCCACCUUGACUGGGGCCACGGCCCAUAGAGGGUGAUAGGCCCGUAAGGCGGCUGCCGCGGCGCGCUGACUUUUUCCCUAGAGUCGAGUUGCUUGGGAGUGCAGCUCAAAGUGCGUGGUAAACUCCACGUAAGGCUAAAUAUGACCCCGAGACCGAUAGCAAACAAGUACGGUGACGGAAAGUUGAAAAGAACUUUGAAGAGAGAGUUCAAGAGUACGUGAAACUGUGUAGUGGUAAACGGAGGCGCUCUCGAAGUCUCCCGUGGAGGUUCAGGUUGACGCGAGGGCAGCGUGCGUUGUCCGGAUCCGCAAGGACCGGCUGCGUUCGUCGGCUUUUGCGGCGGCAGCAUUUCUCCAUGGGUUCACGCAACGAACCACUGUGGCUGGACCGAGGGCGUGGGUGAAGUUUGGUUGGUUUACUCCGGCCGAGCCCCGCGUUCCUGGCUUCGGCCGCGGCGGGUAGUUAAGCGGGCUCGUAUAGCGAGUGUCUACACUGGCACGGCCCGCAUCUCAGUUGCGAGUAGGUCGGCGGCGCCUCCGACCCGUCUUGAAACACGGACGAAGGAGUCUAACACGCAUGCGAGUCAUUGGGUCGACUAAACCUAAAGGCGUAGUGAAAGCAAAGGCUGCCUAGCAGCUGAGGGGUGAUGAGGGUCAAACCUCCGCAACCCCGGCGCUUUGCAUCGACCUCGCUUCGUGCAGAGCAGCAAGAGCAUGCGCGUUGGGACCCGAAAGAUGGUGAACUAUGCCUGGCCAGGUUGAAGUCAGGGGAAACCCUGAUGGAGGACCGUAGCGAUUCUGACGUGCAAAUCGAUCGUCGGAGCUGGGUAUAGGGGCGAAAGACUAAUCGAACCAUCUAGUAGCUGGUUCCUUCCGAAGUUUCCCUCAGGAUAGCUGGCGCUCGUAAUCGAGUUUCAUCCGGUAAAGCGAAUGAUUAGAAGCCUUGGGGACGAAACGUCCUCAACUUAUUCUCAAACUUUAAAUGGGUGAGAAGUGUGGCUUGCUUAAGUGAAGCCGCACAACGAAUCGGAGUGCCAAGUGGGCCAUUUUUGGUAAGCAGAACUGGCGCUGUGGGAUGAACCAAACGUCGGGUUAAAGUGCCAAAGUGGGCGCUCAUCAGAUCCCAUGAAAGGUGUUGGUUGCUUAAGACAGCAGGACGGUGGCCAUGGAAGUCGGAAUCCGACUAAGGAGUGUGU
rnacentral:rRNA from 1 species